rnacentral:rRNA from 1 species
AUUGAACGAUGGCGGCAGGCUUAACACAUGCAAGUCGAGCGAGCGGCGGACGGGUGAGUAAUGUCGGGGAAAAUGCCUGAUGGAGGGGGUUAACUACUGGAAACGGUAGCUAAUACCGCAUACCAUGAGAUGUGCCCAGAUUGGAGUGGCUAGUAGGUGGGGUAAUGGCUCACCGAGGCGAAGAUGCCUAGCUGGUCUGAGAGGAUGACCAGCCACACUGGAACUGAGACACGGUCCAGGCUCCUACGGGAGGCAGCAGUGGGGAAUAUUGCACAAUGGGCGCAAGCCUGAUGCAGCCAUGCCGCGUGUGUGAAGAAGGCCUUCGGGUUGUAAAGCACUUUCAGCGAGGAGGCGGUACUCGCAGAAGAAGCACCGGCUAACUCCGUGCCAGCAGCCGCGGUAAUUC